CAGGCGGAUAAUAAAUAUUUAAUGAAUAUUAUUAUACCGUCAUCAGUACAGUACAGAUUGGUUCUGCGAAUCUAACAUUUUUGUCGAACGUCAUAUUUUACGGCUGCAGGGGAAACCGUUGUAACUUGUAAAUCCAUUUUUGUUUUUAACAUAACAAUUAUAAUGUACUGGUCUGAUUCUUCAUAAUUAUCCUGUGUCUUGCCCACCCGAUUCCGGUUUAAUACAGACCUGUGGGAACUUGCAGCGUAUCGCUCCCCGUGCAACUCUGACGAGCAGAACAAAUCAGUUCAUGUCAAUGGCGUAAUCAGCUGGAAAUACCGGAUACCUGAAGAGCAAGAUAGGAGCGCACACGCUUACAAGCGGAUCCGGCAGCCAACUAAAGGAGAAGAAGGUCAAAGACUACAUUACAGCACAAAUCCUGCAUGCAUGAAUUUGCCGUUCCAGCAGAAAAACUGGGAGAUCUGUUUAUGAAAAAGCCAGGAUUUAUGACGGAGGCAAACGCGAAAUCAUUUUCUUUCUCAGGAAGGACUGUGACGCGUGGAAAGAAUGUAUUUCACCAAAAUCUGGCAUAUUUGAGCGGUCGAAGGAUUUCCAAGUCGAUUCGCGUUGGCAGCCUCAACAGUCGCGGAUAGUUGUCUCAAAACUGCCCAUUUACUUCCUCGCGUCUCCGACGGCCUGACCUUUCGAGAUGUUUGACGAAGGAUAAAGACUUCCGCCGAGCGGCUUCAGGUUGGUUGGCUUGCUCCGGGAAGGUUAUGAUGAUUUCUCGCACCGACGUUCGUCCACUGACACAACGUCGACCGCAGGACAUUCACCCACACCAAGAAGAAGCCUAAGAAAACCGAAGAAACCAUGAGCCAACUAAGAUAGUUCGGCAAAACACUAAUUCGACGUUACGACGGGUAAACAUCGUGUCUGCUCGACGAAGGGACGGUCGAGGGAUUUUCGUCGGCGAAAUGGCGGGUCACCGUGAUGGCUAGGCUUUUUAAAAGACUUGUUUAACGAAAUAAAAUGUUUUCCCGUUGUGGAUGGUGCACGGUGACCUUUGAUAUGCGGACGGGAUUCGGCUCUGGAACUCGCGUUGGCUGCGAGCGCGGAACUCGCACGGAUUGGAACUAUGUGCACGGUUGAAUUGUGGAAAUACCUAAUUGUUAUGGAAACUGCUGAAAAAUAAUAUUAAGACGACUCCAGACACCACCAAAGUCUCCCGAAACGACCUUUCACCACCCGUUAAGCUCUCGACGCAACUGUUCGCACCGCUUUCUGCCUAAGCGCACCAUUUGCGAGACACGAUCGUGCAUAAUAAAAUGCCGUUUAUCUCAGGAGACAACCUCACAGCUGCGAACUGUGAGAUACACAAUGGUCGGUACAGUGGAACCUCCGAGUUUGAACACCUCCGAACCUUCAUCAGGUUAUGGCGGGCGGCGGCGGUGGCAGCGGCGUUUAACUCGGUGGCGGUAACCUCUGAGAGUUGUGAAGAUCUCUGAACCCUGAACAAAAAAUUGCGUACCGAAGGUAACGAAAAUGCUCCCCCGUUCCUUUUCCGGAAAAGCGAUAAGAGAGUGGGUAAUGCUUCCGUUGGGGCUUCCCAGCGUAAUCCAGAAGCUACCACCACUGUCCCGGUAAAGCAUCAGAACGACUGCGAUUAAAGGAUCUGCUCGCACUUACGGAAAUGGAAGCACGAGAGUUGCACAGAAAACGGUGAGCUAAACCCGAAAAGGCAGUGCUGCGUUUUUCUCGCCAGUAAUAACUUUAUAAAACUAAAUCUGUGCUGUGUUGUGUGCAUUUCUCGUCAACAUUUUCGUAAUGACCUUUCGUAACAACCUUUCGUAACGGACACAGAAACAUUUUUGCAUUUGGUGCUAAAUUAAGACUACGCUUGCUUCCCUCGAUUAAAUUAUUAUUAUCAUCGCUUAAAGCCUGUUGACCUUAUUACAAAAUAAAGAAGUCAGCAAUAGUAGUUAUAGUAUCAUACGAAUGUGGGUUAAGGUGGCGCCUGGCAACCAACGAUACCUAUUUCUAUCUGCAUCAGGAUCCAUCAUUAAUGCGCUAGUUCGCGAUGGAUCCUACUCACCAGUAAACUACUAGGAAUAGUUGAAUUCCGUGCCAUGAGUAAAAUACGAUGAGGUGUUAGUUCACGACAGUUACGUAGCAAGGAAAAGUGCAGGCUAACCAGCAUAACAUAAUUCUUCUCACAAAGCCAGGUCAGUUAAACCUAGUCCUAAUUUUAUUCCUGACAUCAAUAGGACUGCAGACUACGACGCUUGGUACAGGACCGGGAUGUUUUUGUCAGCGCUACGUACGUACUGCACUUGUUAACCACAUCACUGCACGAGCGCGAGCUUCAGUACCACUGGAAAAUACGAGUAGUACUGGAUUUGUGGAAUUGGAAAAGUGUGCCAUGGACGGUGGGAUUGUGUUCCUUGGUUUCCGAGUUUGUCAGAAAUAUUCGGCAGGUAGCGAGCACCAGUCAAGAAGCUCGCCAAAGUGAUCGGAAACGUACAACGUUUGCCGGGAAGAGAAGGAUGCGCCUGGCCUGGGAUGUGACGUGCGUCGACACAAUGGCCCUUUCCCAUCAUCAGUCCACGUCGGGUACGGCAGGUGCUGCUGCAGUACAAGCAGAAGAAAAGAAGUCCCGACUGUAUGCUUAUCUGCAAGGUCGCUAUAUUUUUUCUCCGAUCGCCUUUGAGACGAUGGGUCCCUGGGGCCCGUCGGCUAUCGCCAUUGUGAAAGAGUUGGGCAAAAGACUGCAGCAGCAUACGGGAGAGAGUCGAUCACAUGAAUUUCUGCGUCAACGCCUAUCGCUGCAAAUUCAGCGCGGAAAUGCAGCAUCUAUCCUUGGCACGAUGGACCGAGUGGAUAGUUUAAAUGAAGUUUUGCUGUUGUGAUUAAUGUGCUCUGUUUAUUUUUCUUCCACCUGAUUUGUGCAUUGAUUAUUAAUAACAAGCGAAGGCAUCGGAAAAGAAUUUCGUUACGACCCAAAGUACCGUAAUUAUCGAAUUUGUGGCACUGCGCGGCAAAAAGUUCGAACGUUCGCUGCUGGUGCGCUCUAUCAUUUUGGUCUCCAUUCACUUCGGCCACCAUUCAUUUCGGCCACCAAUCAUUUUGGCCACCAAAACCAAAGAAAACUAAGAAUCCUAAUUUUGGUCACCAUUAUUUUUCAGACAAUAAAUUUCGGAAGGGGCCAUUAUUUUUGGAAACAAGAGCUCAUUGCGUUCUAUCGAAACUGAACGCUGCAAACAUUUCUAUUGAAAUUUUUGAUUUCUCAGAUUUAAAGGGGUAGGUGCGCUUAGUACUUGGGGUGACCUUAUUGCCCGGGGCGCUACAAAUUCGAUAAUUACGGUAUUUGACGCGGAAUAAUAAACUUCAGCGAUUCAGCGUGUGUCUGUCUCUGCUGUCGAGAAUGUUGUUAAAAUAAACCCGAACUACAAGUAGUGCACCAGCGCAUGCAUUUUUUGGUAAUGCAUUUUUAGCGCAUGCAUUUUUUGGUAAGUAGUGCACCAGCCCAUGCAUUUUUCGGUAAUUGGCUGGCUAUUGUCAAUAAAAGAAAUGAACCGGAUGUAGGUCGUAAUAUUCUCCAGGUCGUUUUCUAGGUGUUUAGUUAGGUCUUGAUAUUAUUUCGAAGGAACUAGCUAAAUAAAGCAGUCGCAACGGACGAAUGUGUUUUUAACCCCUUUGAAGAACUCUAAACCCUGUUUAAUGGACUUGCAGUCUUGCACAUACGCAUAAUUCAUAAACAGUACCGAUUCUGCCAGCUCAUAAAUUCUUAUCAGUUAAUUCUUCAGUGUUAUUUUUUUUUAAUUUUUAUGAUUUUUUAAGCGUUUUAUUUUUGUGAACU